AUGUACAGGGCUCACAUCGGUUAUCUGCUAAAGAGGGAUGCACACUUAACUAAACAUCAAACUCUCAUAUGGAGGAGAGACUGCAGGGUUAUGGAAAGGCUCCUGGGUAUAGCUGCUUCAAGAUCAAACUUGACUCAGGCCAAGAGCCUGUCGUUUGUAGAUACUGAUACCCAUCACUUCAGAUUUAAUUGUCGAAAUCAUUUGAAAACAGGACAUGGCGAGGAUGCACUGAAACUGGAUGUAUUCUUCAUGCUUCCUCUUGCUGAAGGCAUGUUUGAUCUACGUUCAACAUCGGAGCUGAAAGUUUUGUAUUCUGAAUCUUCCUUCCUGACCUACAACCCAAGUGAACAAGUUGUCUAUAGUAGCCGAAACAAUUUUAUCAGUAAUGAUGUACCAGUUCUGUUCUUUCCUUUCUCUAGAGGUUAUCGAGAUUCAAAUAGCAAUCGUACCUGGUUCCCGAAGCAACGAAAUCGCACCUGUGAAAUUCACAUUCGUGCCGGCGAAAAGCACUUGAGAAUCUGGAUCGGGCGGAUGGAAGAGCAAGCUGACGGGUGGGGUCAUUUGGUCAGCAUCAAGGUCCAAUCACGGAAACCAUCAGCACUCAGUCUCUCCGCUCCGCUCGCACCAACGCGGCCGUUCCCUCGCCGCCGGCGCCGCUGCGCACACCAGUACCCCAAUCUCCUCGGAUGUGACCUCGACAGGGUUGUCAAGUCCAACGUCGCAUUACUGCGGGAGUGCGGGCUGGGUGCUUGCGAUAUUGCCAAGCUAUGCCUCGUCGUGCCAUGGCUGCUAAGCAGUAGCCCGGAGCGAGUUCAUGCCAUGGUGGCGCGCGCCGAAGGUCUCGGUGUGCCCCGCCCAUCUGGGAUGUUUAGGCAAGCACUCCAAGCAGUCAAAUUUCUCAAGGAAAAUGGAUUGCUAGAUCACGACCGGGACUACUAUGCUGCAGUCAUGAUCAGCGAGAAGGUAUUCGUCGAGAAGUUCAUAUGCCCUCAUAAGGAUGCUGCACCACAUCUCGCUGAAGACUAUGCAGCAGCUUGCAGAGGGGAGCUUUGUGAUGAUGCAGGAAACAGUGCAAAAAUCGCAGAAAAUAAUGAAGAAAAUGGUGCAACAGGCCCUUAUUUUAUGUGUCCUAGCUCGGGGGACAUAUCCACCUCGGGAUCGAUGCAGGUGCUGCAGCCAGGCAGCAGAUCUUCCUUGGGAUCCGCAUCUGGCAGUGAUCCUGCCGCGCCAGACAUAAUAGGAGCAGGCGGGCGCACCGCCGAGUCUGCAUCAGCCACGCGACAGAACCUGGCGGGCGGCAGCGCUCCCCCUCGCACGCACGACUCCGCGCUUGACAAGCGGCGGGCCGGCACUGGCUCGGGCCGCAUCUAG
rnacentral:rRNA from 1 species